AACGAACGCUGGCGGCGUGGGAUAAGACACGCAAGUCGAGCGAUGACUCCAGGGUAGCAAUAUUUGGAGUUGGAGCGGCGCAAGGGUGCGUAACACGUGGGUAAUUUGCCGGCGAAGCCUGGAAUAACUCGCUGAAAGGCGAGCUAAUGCCGGAUGUGAAGUUUGGAUGGCAUCUUUUAAACUUCAAAGCUGGGGACCGCAAGGCCUGGCGCUUCGCGAUAAGCCCGCGGCCUAUCAGCUAGUUGGUGAGGUAACGGCUCACCAAGGCCUAAGACGGGUAGCUGGUCUGAGAGGACGGACCAGCCACACUGGACUGAGACACGGUCCAGACACCUACGGGUGGCAGCAGUCGAGAAUUUUUC
rnacentral:rRNA from 1 species